rnacentral:snRNA from 1 species
AUACUUACCUGGCUCAGGGGAUACCGUGAAUCACAAAGGCGGUUCCCCCAGGGCGAGGCCCUUUCCAUUGCACUUCGGUUGGGUUGACCCCUGCGAUUACCCCCAAAUGUGGGUAACUCGGGAGUACAAUUUUUUGUUAGCGGGGUAGGUUGCGUUCGCGCUCCAACCCUA